rnacentral:ncRNA from 1 species
GUGUUGUAUGAAAGGAGAGAAGGUUAGCACUUGACAAGGAUGGAAGAGGCCCUCCGGCCUGACAACACGCAUGCAUACGGUUAAGGCAUUGCCACCUACUUCCUGGCAUCUAACCAUCGUUUUUA